GAGAGCUAUAUAGCAGCGGCAGCGCUCUGGCGUCGCUCAUACUGCCGGAGAGAACGAAACAAACAGAAGUAGAAGUUGCAGUUUGUAACGUGAAGCAAUUCUACGCUUGUAUGAAGUCAUAUCAGUUGGAAAUCACACAUUACGAUCAAACCCCAGUUGGCAGUGCAGCGGUCGCCGACGUGGCAGAGUGCGGGAAGGGGAAUCAGAGGAGAAGUAAGAGGUUGCAGCAUGAGAUCAUAGGAGUCACACUGAGGCGCAUGCACUGAAAUGACCCUGACCUCUAACACCUUUGCUCUUGCAUGAGAGAACACCUUUUUGUGGCUUUGGAUGGAAGAAGCGAGUGUAGGAGAAGAGAAAUGAAGAGCAUGGUGCCGUCCUUCACCAUUAUUAUCGGGUUUUUGGAAGGGGCUCUGCAAUGGCACAAAAAAAGGUCCUCUUUGAAAAGAAGGUUUUCAGAUUCGGACCCCUUGAGAACAGAAUGAUUAAUUUAGCACAAGGAAUAAUACUUUGGAUGAUAAAGGGAAUACAUUUAUCUUUUUGCUUUCAUCCUGACUGUGUGCGGGAGAGCCCAGGAAACCUUGAGGGAAAUUGAACCGUACAGAUUCAGUCUGGAAUUCUUUCAAAUGGUUCCAAAGCCAUGAGAGUGCGCUGGAUCAUCUCUGGUUUAGCAUCCACCAGAUCCAGUCUGUAUCCAGAUCAGAGGGUCACUGCAGUCACCCGGAUCCAGUACGUAUCCAGCCCAGAUGGUGGAUCAGCACCUAGAAAGGACCUCUACAGCCCUGAAAGACAGCGGAGGCCUGGACAACUAGAUGAGCCGCAGAGACAGAUCCCCUGUGAAGACCUUGUCUCAGACGACCAUCAGGACAAGACCACAGGAAACAGAUGAUUCUUCUGCACAAUCUGACUUUGCUGCAGCCUGGAAUUGAACUGCUGGUUUCAUCUGGCCAGAGGAGAACUGGCCCCCC
ensembl:lncRNA